UACGUAGGGUCCGAGCGUUGUCCGGAAUUACUGGGCGUAAAGAGCUCGUAGGUGGUUUGUCGCGUUGUUCGUGAAAACUCACAGCUCAACUGUGGGCGUGCGGGCGAUACGGGCAGACUAGAGUACUGCAGGGGAGACUGGAAUUCCUGGUGUAGCGGUGGAAUGCGCAGAUAUCAGGAGGAACACCGGUGGCGAAGGCGGCUCUCUGGGACGGUACUGGACGCUGAG
rnacentral:rRNA from 1 species